UCCCUCGGGUUUCCCCCGACUGGGUCGGACUUGGGCGUUGCCGAUCGAGGCUCGCCUUAAACGAGUUAGCGGAGGUAUUGACCGGUGCCGGUGUAAUGAGAUUCCGUCGGCGCCAUGUCUUUUGGACCCCCGCUCACAGCCGCCCUCUGGGCACUUUCGACUCCGACCUCAAAUCAGGUAGGACUACCCGCUGAACUUAA
rnacentral:misc_RNA from 1 species